AUGGCUCAGGAUGAACGCUAGCUACAGGCUUAACACAUGCAAGUCGGGGGGCAGCAUGUCGGUUGCUUGCAACCGACGAUGGCGACCGGCGCACGGGUGAGUAACGCGUAUCCAACCUACCCUUGUCCAUCGGAUAACCCGUCGAAAGGCGGCCUAACACGAUAUGCGGUUCACAGCAGGCAUCUAACGUGAACGAAAUGUGAAGGAGAAGGAUGGGGAUGCGUCUGAUUAGCUUGUUGGCGGGGUAACGGCCCACCAAGGCGACGAUCAGUAGGGGUUCUGAGAGGAAGGUCCCCCACAUUGGAACUGAGACACGGUCCAAACUCCUACGGGAGGCAGCAGUGAGGAAUAUUGGUCAAUGGACGAGAGUCUGAACCAGCCAAGUAGCGUGCAGGAAGACGGCCCUAUGGGUUGUAAACUGCUUUUAUAGGGGGAUAAAGUGUGCCACGUGUGGCAUAUUGCAGGUACCCUAUGAAUAAGGACCGGCUAAUUCCGUGCCAGCAGCCGCGGUAAUACGGAAGGUCCGGGCGUUAUCCGGAUUUAUUGGGUUUAAAGGGAGCGUAGGCCGUCUUAUAAGCGUGUUGUGAAAUGUCGGGGCUCAACCUGGGCAUUGCAGCGCGAACCGUGAGACUUGAGUGCGCAGGAAGUAGGCGGAAUUCGUCGUGUAGCGGUGAAAUGCUUAGAUAUGACGAAGAACUCCGAUUGCGAAGGCAGCCUGCUGUAGCGCAACUGACGCUGAAGCUCGAAAGCGUGGGUAUCGAACAGGAUUAGAUACCCUGGUAGUCCACGCGGUAAACGAUGGAUGCUCGCUGUUUGCGUCUGACGUAAGCGGCCAAGCGAAAGCGUUAAGCAUCCCACCUGGGGGGUACGCCGGCAACGGUGCAACUCAAAGG
rnacentral:rRNA from 1 species